rnacentral:lncRNA from 1 species
ACACCUUCCUUGGCAGAAGGCAGCAGCUGAGGAUCCUCUUGUGAGUACACAAGACAAGUAAGGGAUCAGAAUGAAGAUGCUUACGUUCUGGGCCGUUCUUCUCCUCUGUGGUCUCCUGUCUUCCUCCCAAAGCACAGGGGGACUUCCAGCUUCCUCUUUAGUUCAGUUGGACAUUAAUUCUCUGCAGAACGCCCUUGGAACAUCAAUGGGCCAAGAAAAUCCACUGGACAACCUUGUGGGACAAGUACUUGGAGGAGGAGGAGGAGGAGGAGAAGGUCUACUUGGAAACAUCCUGGGAGGAGGAGGAGGAGGAGGUCUACUUGGAAACAAUGGUCUGCUCGGUACUGGUCUCCUUGGAGGCAAUGGAGGUCUCCUUGGAGGCAAUGAAGGUCUCAUUGGGUGAGUUACCUAUUUUUGGGGAAAGGAUAGGAAAAUGCACCCUUCAUUGAGUUCCCCUUCUAGGGAUAUCUAUGCAAGAGAAGGAUAAAACUUUCCUCAUCCGUUAAAGUGAGGUCCUUUGGUAAGGGGGAAAGGAAUG